rnacentral:rRNA from 1 species
UACCAGCACCCCGAGUGGUCGGGACGAUUAUUGGGCCUAAAGCAUCCGUAGCCGGUCCUACAAGUCUUCCGUUAAAUCCACCUGCUUAACAGAUGGGCCGCGGAAGAUACUAUAGAGCUAGGAGGCGGGAGAGGCAAGCGGUACUCGAUGGGUAGGGGUAAAAUCCGUUGAUCCAUUGAAGACCACCAGUGGCGAAGGCGGCUUGCCAGAACGCGCUCGACGGUGAGGGAUGAAAGCUGGGGGAGCAAACCGG